UAAAGUUAUCGCUACGAUCGCAUAGGAACUCUAAAAUAAAAUAAUUAUUAUCGCAAAAAGUUUCUGAAGUCAACAUGUACAUACUUGAAUUACCUCUGGUUCCGAGGAUCAAAGAAGAUAUAAGACACUGUGCCAAACAGCUACCACAUCCAAAUAUCACGAUAAAUGUGCACGUGCCGUUAAAAAAACUGCGAAAGUUCCGCUACUAGGGCAGAGACAAUGCGUUGUGGCAUCACCUGGCGAAAUAUUUGCGAUACAGCUAUUGAG
rnacentral:lncRNA from 1 species